GACGAACGCUGGCGGCGUGCUUAACACAUGCAAGUCGAACGGAAAGGCACUGCUUUUGUGGGGUGCUCGAGUGGCGAACGGGUGCGUAACACGUGAGUAACCUGCCCUUGACUUUGGGAUAACUUAAGGAAACUGGGGCUAAUCCCGGAUAGGAGCUCCUGCUGCAUGGUGGGCGUUGGAACGUUUCGGCGGUUGGGGAUGGACGCGCGGCUUAUCAGCUUGUUGGUGGGGUAGUGGCUUACCAAGGCUUUGACGGGUCGCCGGCCUGAGAGGGUGACCGGCCACAUGAGGACUGAGAUACGGCCCAGACGCCUACGGGAGGCAGCAGUGGGGAAUAUUGCACAAUGGGCGGAAGCCUGAUGCAGCAGCGCCGCGUGCGUGAUGACGGCCUGCGGGUUGUAAACCGCUGUCGCCUGUGACGAAGCGGGAGUGACGGUAAUGGGUAAAGAAGCACCGGCUAACUACGUG
rnacentral:rRNA from 1 species